GACGAACGCUGGCGGCGUGCUUAACACAUGCAAGUCGAACGAAAAGAGGGAAAGAGCUUGCUCUUUCCGGAAUUGAGUGGCAAACGGGUGAGUAACACGUAAACAACCUGCCUUCAGGAUGGGGACAACAGACGGAAACGACUGCUAAUACCGAAUAAGUUCCAAGGGCCGCAUGGCCCAUGGAAGAAAAGGUGGCCUCUACCUGUAAGCUAUCGCCUGAAGAGGGGUUUGCGUCUGAUUAGCUGGUUGGAGGGGUAACGGCCCACCAAGGCGACGAUCAGUAGCCGGUCUGAGAGGAUGAACGGCCACACUGGAACUGAGACACGGUCCAGACUCCUACGGGAGGCAGCAGUGGGGGAUCUUCCGCAAUGGGCGAAAGCCUGACGGAGCAACGCCGCGUGAGUGAUGACGGCCUUCGGGUUGUAAAACUCUGUGAUCCGGGACGAAAAGGCAGAGUGCGAAGAACAAACUGCAUUGACGGUACCGGAAAAGCAAGCCACGGCUAACUACGUG
rnacentral:rRNA from 1 species